rnacentral:rRNA from 1 species
CGGGACGGGUGAGUAACACGUGGAUAACCUACCUAUAAGACUGGGAUAACUUCGGAAACCGGAGCUAAUACCGGAUAAUAUAUUGAACCGCAUGGUUCAAUAGUGAAAGACGGUUUUGCUGUCACUUAUAGAUGGAUCCGCGCCGCAUUAGCUAGUUGGUAAGGUAACGGCUUACCAAGGCAACGAUGCGUAGCCGACCUGAGAGGGUGAUCGGCCACACUGGAACUGAGACACGGUCCAGACUCCUACGGGAGGCAGCAGCU